AGUCGUAACAAGGUUUCCGUAGGUGAACCUGCGGAAGGAUCAUUAGUGAAUAUAGGACGUCCAACUUAACUUGGAGUCCGAACUCUCACUUUCUAACCCUGUGCAUUUGUUUGGGAUAGUAGCCUCUCGGGGUGAACUCCUAUUCACUUAUAAACACAAAGUCUAUGAAUGUAUUUAAUUUAUAACAAAAUAAAACUUUCAACAACGGAUCUCUUGGCUCUCGCAUCGAUGAAGAACGCAGCGAAAUGCGAUAAGUAAUGUGAAUUGCAGAAUUCAGUGAAUCAUCGAAUCUUUGAACGCACCUUGCGCUCCAUGGUAUUCCGUGGAGCAUGCCUGUUUGAGUGUCAUGAAUACUUCAACCCUCCUCUUUUCUAGUGAAAGAGAAGGUGCUUGGUUUCUGAGCGUUUUGCUGGCCUCACGGUCGAGCUCGCUCGUAAUGCAUUAGCAUCCGCAAUCGAACUUCGGAUUGACUUGGCGUAAUAGACUAUUCGCUGAGGAAUUCUAAUCUUCGGAUUAGAGCCGGGUUGGGUUAAAGGAAGCUUCUAAUCCUAAUGUCUAUAUUUUUAGAUUAGAUCUCAAAUCAGGUAGGACUACCCGCUGAACUUAAGCAUAUCAAUAAAGUCG
rnacentral:rRNA from 1 species